ACAAAGAUGAUGAUAGAAAGAAGUAAUCAUAUGAAUCAUUAAGAGAGCUGGUGGGUGGUGCAAACCAGUUGAGGAGUAUGGUGAAAUACAUUCUUGAAUCUUAGACUGAAAAGCAAUUUAUGCCUAGUAGGUUGAUACGGAUAUCUCAACGUUAUAGGGAAUAAGCGGAUAUGCAUAUAGAAAUGCAUAUCAAUUUGGGUGGUACCGCGGAGAAAAUUCGUCCCUUUA
rnacentral:ncRNA from 1 species